rnacentral:rRNA from 1 species
UACGAAGGGUGCAAACGUUGCUCGGAAUCAUUGGGCGUAAAGCGCACGUAGGCGGCUUCGCAAGUCGGAUGUGAAAUCCCUCGGCUCAACCGAGGACGUGCAUCCGAAACUGCGGAGCUUGAGUACUGAAGAGGAUCGCGGAAUUCCCGGUGUAGAGGUGAAAUUCGUAGAUAUCGGGAGGAACACCAGUGGCGAAGGCGGCGAUCUGGGCAGUUACUGACGCUGAGGUGCGAAAGCGGUGGGGAGCAAACAGGG